rnacentral:rRNA from 1 species
GAUGAACGCUGGCGGCGUGCCUAAUACAUGCAAGUCGAGCGAACAGACGAGGAGCUUGCUCCUCUGACGUUAGCGGCGGACGGGUGAGUAACACGUGGAUAACCUACCUAUAAGACUGGGAUAACUUCGGGAAACCGGAGCUAAUACCGGAUAAUAUAUUGAACCGCAUGGUUCAAUAGUGAAAGACGGUUUUGCUGUCACUUAUAGAUGGAUCCGCGCCGCAUUAGCUAGUUGGUAAGGUAACGGCUUACCAAGGCAACGAUGCGUAGCCGACCUGAGAGGGUGAUAGGCCACACUGGAACUGAGACACGGUCCAGGCUCCUACGGGAGGCAGCAGUAGGGAAUCUUCCGCAAUGGGCGAAAGCUUGACGGAGCAACGCCGCGUGAGUGAUGAAGGUCUUCGGAUCGUAAAACUCUGUUAUUAGGGAAGAACAAAUGUGUAAGUAACUAUGCACGUCUUGACGGUACCUAAUCAGAAAGCCACGGCUAACUACGUG